rnacentral:piRNA from 2 species
UUCAAGUAGCAGGACAGCAACGCUUAAGA